UACCAGCACCCCGAGUGGUCGGGACGUUUAUUGGGCCUAAAGCAUCCGUAGCCGGUUCUACAAGUCUUCCGUUAAAUCCACCUGCUUAACAGAUGGGCUGCGGAAGAUACUAUGGAGCUAGGAGGCGGGAGAGGCAAGCGGUACUCGAUGGGUAGGGGUAAAAUCCGUUGAUCCAUUGAAGACCACCAGUGGCGAAGGCGGCUUGCCAGAACGCGCUCGACGGUGAGGGAUGAAAGCUGGGGGGAGCAAACCGG
rnacentral:rRNA from 1 species